rnacentral:rRNA from 1 species
AGCGUAGGCGGACAUUUAAGUCAGGGGUGAAAUCCCGGGGCUCAACCUCGGAAUUGCCUUUGAUACUGGGUGUCUUGAGUAUGAGAGAGGUGUAUGGAACUCCGAGUGUAGAGGUGAAAUUCGUAGAUAUUCGGAAGAACACCAGUGGCGAAGGCGACACACUGGCUCAUUACUGACGCUGAGGCUCGAAAGCGUGGGGAGCAAACA